UAAUGAUAAACACCGAUAAACAAAACGUUAAAAGCCCCAUAGACCCAUCACAUCAAUGGUACCCGAAAGGCCAAGUAUCAGGUAACUUAUCCUCCUCCUUAUCAUCUCAGAUCUAUCACAAUCAGUAUAUAUCAUGAUAAAGCCUUUCGAGAAUGAUUAUUAAUAGAUCUGGCGGCAUCCUUAUGUUGGCAAAUCUUACAUAUACGCC
rnacentral:lncRNA from 1 species